ensembl:snRNA U6 U6 spliceosomal RNA
GUGUUUGUCUCAGCAGCACAUAUACUAAACUUGGAACAAAACAGAGAAGAUUAGCAUGGCCCCUCUGCGUGGAUGACAUGCAAAUUCAUGAAGAAUACCAUAUUCUU